rnacentral:rRNA from 1 species
AACGCUAGCUACAGGCUUAACACAUGCAAGUCGAGGGGAAACGACAUCGAAAGCUUGCUUUUGAUGGGCGUCGACCGGCGCACGGGUGAGUAACGCGUAUCCAACCUGCCCACCACUUGGGGAUAACCUUGCGAAAGUAAGACUAAUACCCAAUGACGUCUCUAGAAGACAUCUGAAAGAGAUUAAAGAUUUAUCGGUGAUGGAUGGGGAUGCGUCUGAUUAGCUUGUUGGCGGGGUAACGGCCCACCAAGGCGACGAUCAGUAGGGGUUCUGAGAGGAAGGUCCCCCACAUUGGAACUGAGACACGGUCCAAACUCCUACGGGAGGCAGCAGUGAGGAAUAUUGGUCAAUGGACGAGAGUCUGAACCAGCCAAGUAGCGUGCAGGAUGACGGCCCUAUGGGUUGUAAACUGCUUUUAUAAGGGAAUAAAGUGAGAGUCGUGACUCUUUUUGCAUGUACCUUAUGAAUAAGGACCGGCUAAUUCCGUGCCAGCAGCCGCGGUAAUACGGAAGGUCCGGGCGUUAUCCGGAUUUAUUGGGUUUAAAGGGAGCGUAGGCCGGAGAUUAAGCGUGUUGUGAAAUGUAGACGCUCAACGUCUGCACUGCAGCGCGAACUGGUUUCCUUGAGUACGCACAAAGUGGGCGGAAUUCGUGGUGUAGCGGUGAAAUGCUUAGAUAUCACGAAGAACUCCGAUUG